UACGUAGGGCGCAAGCGUUGUCCGGAAUUAUUGGGCGUAAAGAGCUCGUAGGCGGCCUGUUGCGUCCGCUGUGAAAUCCCGGGGCUUAACCCCGGGCGUGCAGUGGAUACGGGCGGGCUGGAGGCAGGCAGGGGAGAACGGAAUUCCUGGUGUAGCGGUGAAAUGCGCAGAUAUCAGGAGGAACACCGGUGGCGAAGGCGGUUCUCUGGGACGGUACUGACGCUGAGACGCGAAAGCGUGGGGAGCGAACAGG
rnacentral:rRNA from 1 species